rnacentral:misc_RNA from 1 species
CCGAGUUCGAGGGAAACCUCAACUCCCACCCUUGUUUACCGCAUGUUGCUUCGGCGAGACGUUGGAAGCAACCGUCGGCGAUUCGUACGAUGACCCGACGCGUGCUCGCCGGACUCCAAAUACUCUUAGACUAUGUACAGUCAGAUGAAACAAGCAAUAUAUAA